rnacentral:misc_RNA from 1 species
GUGAAUCAUCAAAUUUUUGAACGCAAAUUGCACUCUCUUCGGAGAGUAUGCCUGUUUGAGGGUCAGCCUAAAAAAAAAUCGACAUAGUCGCUGCUUCGCGGUGCCAUUCGUCGGAAAUUGGGUAAUCUUAAACUUUUGGGUUUUAAGCGGCUUAAAAUUUUCUUUCCGAUUCCACGAACGUUUCUAAGUUUUCCUUCUUUUACGUUUAAGGUAUCGAUCUUUAUUAGA